UGCAUCUAAGAGUCUGCCAUCUCCAACUAUGACUUUGGAAAAAUAGUUUUUCUCCAACAUUCUAAGUUAUUCAAGUUAGCUAUUAUAUGAUGUGUAAAUCCACUAUCAACAAGCCACACAUCAUGAUCUUGAUAUGUUAUAUUUCAUUCUCCAAUAAUAGAAGCUUCAAACAAUUUCUCUUCAUGAUCUUCAACAUUUUCAGCAACUUGAGUUGGCUGCACUUGAGCUAGUCGGGCUUGAUUUGUUUUGCAGACCUUAUCCACAUGACCAAACUGUUUGUAGACCUUGUAUUGAACUCUAGGUCUAUACUAAUAAAAAUUCUCUGUAUGAUUGGUCUUUUUACAAUAGCGACAAGGUGGAUCCUUUGAUCUUUUAUAUCCUUCUUUGUUGUUAUAUUGCUCCUUCUUCUCUUUUCCAUGUCUUCCUUCUAGUUAUUGCCCUUUUAAUUCACCAUCAUACUGAGCUUUAGACUUUUGAGCAGCCACAAGAGCAACUUUAUUUGAACUCGCUUCCUCUCUGAAAGCUUUUCUUUGCUCCACAGCUUGAAUAGUGUUGGAUAGUUCAUUCAACGUGACAUGAGACAUAUCCCAAGUAUCUUCUAUUAAGGAUGUUUUUGCUUCAAACUUCUCUGGGAGUGUCACCAUCAUCUUCUUAACAAUCCUCUGCUCUUUUAUUUCUUCUCCCAAUAAUUGAAUUUGAUUAACAAUUUUCAUGAUCCUAUCAAUAUAAUCUUUCACUUUUUCAGUCUCUUUUAUCCUUAACAUCUCAAAUUAUUUUCUUAGAUUCAAUAUUUGCAUUUGUCUUGUCCUAUCACUCCCCUGAAAUUCUUGCUUCAGCAUAUCCCAAGCUUCUUUGGCAGUUUCACAAGCCAUUAUCCUUGUAAAAAUUGAUUCGGGGAAGGUUGCAUUAAUGAAAGACAGGGCUUUUGGAACUUUUACAAUCUUUUCUUCAUAAUCUCUGAUCUGCUGAAGAGUUGGGUUUGCUCUCAAAGGUUUCGGAGCAUUGUGUUCCUCAACAUACUUCCAUAAACCAAGACCUUUUAACUAUGUCUUCAUCUUUACAACCAAAACUUGGUAAUUUUAUCCAUUAAAGAUAGGAGGUAAAAGAGAAGGGCUAAUGGAAGCCAUGUCAAAAAAGAUAAUUGGACAGAAAGAGACUUGAACAAGUUAAGCUUGUUGGGUGAUCUUUGUGUGUUUUUUAUCAUAAAAAAGUCCCUUAAAGACAAAUCUUUCUCUGAUGCCAAUUGAAG
rnacentral:lncRNA from 1 species